rfam:Tulasnella calospora MTT 4182 unplaced genomic scaffold scaffold_268, whole genome shotgun sequence.
CCCUUUGUAGCUCAGCUGGAAGAGCGUGGGACUGUAAUGGCUUACGUAAUGUCAUCCCAAGGCCGUCGGUUCGACCCCGACCGAAGGGA